UAGGAAGCUACAAGGCAUCUAAGAAUCCGUUUUACUUUAAUUUCUCCUAUCGUGCCAUCUCAAUAUUUCUUUCGAAUCGAGUCCAAUUGGUAGCUAGAAUAUUUUAGUUGGUAUCUCAAUCAUCAAAAUUGGAUUAGUUGCUUUCAAUUGGUAUCUUGCUAAUAUUUAAAGGGUUGGAACAGGGUAUUCCAACCAGUAGAGGUCAAUAAGAAGCGUA
rnacentral:lncRNA from 1 species